UAGCUCAGUGGCCAUAGGAUCCGACUCCAGGCCACACGUCCUGAGUUCAAAUCUAGCCAGCC
rnacentral:tRNA from 16 species